GGGGAAUUGUUCGCAAUGGGCGCAAGCCUGGCGACGCAACGCCGCGUGGAGGAUGAAGGUCUUCGGAUUGUAAACUCCUGUUGCCCGGGACGAAAUGCUUCGACCUAACACGUCGAAGUUUGACGGUACCGGGUGAGGAAGCCACGGCUAACUCUGUGCCAGCAGCCGCGGUAAUACAGAGGGGGCAAGCGUUGUUCGGAAUUACUGGGCGUAAAGGGCGCGUAGGUGGCCUGGUCAGCGUGCGGUGAAAGCUCGGGGCUCAACCCCGAGUCGGCCGUGCGAACUGCUGGGCUUGAGCACUGUAGAGGCAGGCGGAAUUCCGGGUGUAGCGGUGGAAUGCGUAGAGAUCCGGAAGAACACCGGUGGCGAAGGCGGCCUGCUGGGCAGUAGCUGACACUGAGGCGCGACAGCGUGGGGAGCAAAC
rnacentral:rRNA from 1 species